GGGAUAGCUCAGUUGGUAGAGCGUGAGACCCUUCAUCUCAGGGUCAUGGGUUCGAGCCCCGCGUUGGGUGCA